UACGUAGGGUGCAAGCGUUUGUCCGGAUUUAUUGGGCGUAAAGAGCUCGUAGGCGGUUUUGAAAGUCGGGUGUGAAACCUCCAGGCUCAACCUGGAGACGCCACUCGAUACUUCAAUGACUUGAGUUCGGUAGGGGUAAGCGGGAAUUCCUGGUGUAGCGGUGAAAUGACGCAGAUAUCAGGAGGAACACCGACGGCGAAGGCAGCUUACUGGGCCGAUACUGACGCUGAGGAGCGAAAGCGUGGGGAGCGAACAGG
rnacentral:rRNA from 1 species